UACGUAGGGUGCAAGCGUUAUUCGGAUUCACUGGGCGUAAAGGGUGCGCAGGCGGCCGAGUGUGUGAGGCGUGAAAGCCCGGGGCUUAACCCCGGAAUUGCACCUCAAACUACACGGCUAGAGCAUUGGAGAGGGUAGCAGAAUUCAUGGUAUAGCAGUGAAAUGCGUAGAUAUCAUGAGGAAUACCAGAGGCGAAGGCGGCUACCUGGACAAUUGCUGACGCUCAGGCACGAAAGCGUGGGGAGCAAAAGGG
rnacentral:rRNA from 1 species